UCGAGAAUCUUCGGCAAUGGACGCAAGUCUGACCGAGCGACGCCGCGUGCGGGAUGAAGGCCCUCGGGUUGUAAACCGCUGUCAGAGGGGAUGAAAUUUUGACAGAUCCUCAGAGGAAGUACGGGCUAAGUUCGUGCCAGCAGCCGCGGUAAGACGAACCGUACAAACGUUAUUCGGAAUCACUGGGCUUAAAGGGUGCGCAGGCGGCGCGGAAAGUUGGGUGUGAAAUCCCUCGGCUCAACCGAGGAACUGCGCCCAAAACUACCGUGCUUGAGGGAGACAGAGGUGAGCGGAACUUAGGGUGGAGCGGUGAAAUGCGUUGAUAUCCUAAGGAACACCGGUGGCGAAAGCGGCUCACUGGGUCUCUUCUGACGCUCAUGCACGAAAGCUAGGGGAGCGAACGGGAUUAGAUACCCCCGUAGUCC
rnacentral:rRNA from 1 species